AGCCUGACAGAAAAACAAACCUGUGUGAUUAGUGGAUGGGUGAUGUCACUAACCACACCCACUUUGCAAAUACACAUUUGAAUGUCUACAUUCAUUCAAACUGCUGUGUCAGUGAAUUGUAUCUUCUUCUUCAUUCACAUUAAAUACAGGGAAUCCCUAAAGUCUGUCAUUUCAGUCUCUUGCAUCUCUGCAAACAUGAUUUGGAUUCAAGCAAAAUAAGUCACCCAGAAUAUUAACAUGGACAGAUGUCGACUGCUGAUUCUUAUGACAGGGGUAUUUGCUGACAGCAUUGCGCCAAAAGAAGAGGGUUCAAAUAAAACCAGGAGAGAAGGAGAAUCUGUCACUCUGAGCUGCACAUAUAAAAGCACAAAUAAUGUUUUGCUUUACUGGUACAGACAGUAUCCUAAUAGAGAACCUCAGUAUUUGGUAUUUAAAAGUUCUCGCAUGUCUGGUCAAGAGAAUGUAUCAUCCAAGCGUUAUAAGACAACUACAUCUCCGACAUCCACUUCACUCACCAUUAACAACGUGAACCUGUCAGAUUCGGCUCUCUAUUACUGUGCUCUAAAAGUAGGAGCCCAGUGAUACAAAGUCCACAGACGCUUUACAAAAACACACACAUAAUUGGUGUGCCAGUGAGCCACCACAACUCUGUGUCUUAAACCACAAGACAACAGGAUGCGGUCACACCUGCUGAAGAAACAAAAAGUGC